rnacentral:rRNA from 1 species
GACGAACGCUGGCGGCGUGCUUAACACAUGCAAGUCGAGCGGUAAGGCCCUUUCGGGGUACGACGAGCGGCGAACGGGUGAGUAACACGUGGGUGACCUGCCCUCCAGCUCUGGGAGUAAGCCUGGGAAACCGGGUCUAAUACUGGAUAUGACUCCAUGACGCAUGUUGUGGGGUGGAAAGCCUUGUGCGGCUGAGGAUGGGCCCGCGGCCUAUCAGCUUGUUGGUGGGGUGAUGGCCUACCAAGGCGACGACGGGUAGCCGGCCUGAGAGGGCGACCGGCCACACUGGGACUGAGACACGGCCCAGACUCCUACGGGAGGCAGCAGUGGGGAAGUCUUGCGCAAUGGGCGAAAGCCUGACGCAGCGACGCCGCGUGAGGGAUGACGGCCU